UACGGAGGGGGCUAGCGUUGUUCGGAAUUACUGGGCGUAAAGCGCACGUAGGCGGCUUGGUAAGUUAGAGGUGAAAGCCUGUGGCUCAACCACAGAAUUGCCUUCGAUACUGUAGAGCUUGAGACCGGAAGAGGUAAGUGGAACUGCGAGUGUAGAGGUGAAAUUCGUAGAUAUUCGCAAGAACACCAGUGGCGAAGGCGGCUUACUGGUCCGGUUCUGACGCUGAGGCGCGAAAGCGUGGGGAGCAAACAGG
rnacentral:rRNA from 1 species